CCUANGGGGGGCUGCAGUCAAGAACCUUCCGCAAUGGACGAAAGUCUGACGGAGCGACGCCGCGUGAUGGAUGAAGUCCCUCUGGGACGUAAACAUCUUUUGUAGAGGAGAAAAUUUUGAUAGUACUCUAAGAAUAAGGGGUUGCUAAACUCGUGCCAGCAGCAGCGGUAAUACGAGUGCCCCAAGCGUUAUCCGGAAUCAUUGGGCGUAAAGGGUGUGUAGGUGGUCUGAUUAGUCUUCUGUGAAAUUCUUCGGCUCAACCGGGGCUCCACAGAGGAAACGGUCAGACUCGAGGAUGCGAGGGGUGAAUGGAACUCAUGGAGUAGGGGUGAAAUCCGUUGAUAUCAUGGGGAACACCAAAAGCGAAGGCAAUUCACUGGCGCAUUCCUGACACUGAAACACGAAAGCGUGGGUAGCGAACUGGAUUAGAUACCCUUNUANUC
rnacentral:rRNA from 1 species